rnacentral:rRNA from 1 species
UGGGGAAUCUUGCGCAAUGGGCGAAGGCCUGACGCAGCGACGCCGCGUGAGUGAUGAAGGUCUUCGGGUUGUAAAGCUCUGUGGGGAGAGACGAAUAAGUGCCGGCUAAUACCUUGCAUGAUGACGGUAUCUCCUUAGCAAGCACCGGCUAACUCUGUGCCAGCAGCCGCGGUAAGACAGAGGGUGCAAACGUUGUUCGGAAUUACUGGGCGUAAAGCGAGUGUAGGCGGUUCUGUAAGUCGGAUGUGAAAGCCCCGGGCUCGACCCGGGAAGUGCACUCGAUACUGCAGAGCUAGAGUACUGGAGAGGUGGGUGGAAUUCUCGGUGUAGAGGUGAAAUACGUAGAUAUCGAGAGGAACACCGGCGGCGAAGGCGGCCCACUGGACAGAUACUGACGCUGAGACUCGAAAGCGUGGGGAGCAAACA